rnacentral:rRNA from 1 species
UACGUAGGGGGCGAGCGUUGUUCGGAGUUACUGGGCGUAAAGAGUGCGUAGGUGGUGCCCUAAGUCUGUUGUGAAAUCUCCCGGCUUAACUGGGAGGGUGCGGUGGAAACUGGGGUGCUUGAGUGUGGGAGAGGUAAGCGGAAUUCCUAGUGUAGCGGUGAAAUGCGCAGAUAUUAGGAGGAACACCGGUGGCGAAGGCGCUGCUCUGGGCCGAUACUGACGCUGAGGAGCGAAAGCGUGGGUAGCAAACAGG